UAUAAAGUGUCGAACGGCUGAGUAACACGUGAGCAACCUGCCUCUUGCAGGGGAAUAACAACGGGAAACCGUUGCUAAUACCGCAUAACAUGUUAAAAGGGCAUCCUUUUAACAUCAAAGGAGUAAUCCGGUAAGAGAUGGGCUCGCGUCCGAUUAGCUAGUUGGUAGGGUAACGGCCUACCAAGGCGACGAUCGGUAGCCGGACUGAGAGGUCGAACGGCCGCAUUGGGACUGAGACACGGCCCAGACUCCUACGGGAGGCAGCAGCU
rnacentral:rRNA from 1 species